UAAUUUAGAAAAUAUAUAAAAAUAAGAAGGAAUUUUAAAAAUUGACACAAACUUAAGCAAUACAACGACUACUGUCCAUCCCGUCAGCACGUCUUCAGGGUGGCGCAAUAUGAACAGUAUGAGUUUUCAGAGAUCCAAUAAAAAUGAAAAUAUAAAACUCAGUGUAGAAAUCAAUGUGAAAGAAAGGUGAGGUAGAAGAAACUAUUAAGGUGCAAGCUGAGGUUAAGUCUUCUCACACGCAUAUGUGCACCUUCACCUUUUUAACCUCUAUAUAUGGAAAAGGUUUUUGUCCAAAGAAAUAUGUUGGUCAAGAUAUUGACCCUUUCCAAUGUUGGUCCUCUUUUC
rnacentral:lncRNA from 1 species